CAGUAGUCUGGGUCAUCAUCUGGGUACUGUGAGGAGAAAAAAGGUUGUUGGAGCUUGCUUGAGGUAUUACUUUUCUUAACUUCCUCAGAUGUCUCUCUGGAUUCCUUGCAUACUGCCUCAGAUGCUUGAGAUUUCUCUUGUGAAGGUCCCAUCUGGGAUUUAUUCCUUAGUAUCUUUGGCUCAGGCUGAAAACUAACUCCAUCUUGAAGGGAUUCCAGAUCCUCAUUAUUACAGGUAGAACCAUUGGGACCAUUUGUUUCUUUUCCUGUUUCUUCCUCUACUGUUGCCUUCAUUUCCACAUCUGAUGUUCUGCUGCUUACUGCAUCUACUUUCUGCUCCUCCUCAAUUUCUUCCUCUUCUUCCUCCUCUUCCUCCUCAGGUCCAUCAUCUUUCAUUUUUAACAAGCUUUCAGGGAUAUGUGGACGCUUGUCAGGCAACUUCCCUAGGCUUCCAGUUUUCAGCUUGAAUUUGCUCCCCC
rnacentral:lncRNA from 1 species